rnacentral:lncRNA from 1 species
AUGGUGCAAGACUGGAUGCCAGAGAGCUUACCCCGAAAUCAUUACCAGAUGCCAAAGAACAAACCUGAAGCAACUUCUCAAGGGCACGCAGCAACUGGUGGAAGAGCUCUGCAGUUGGAUGUCAGAUUUGUUUACCUUAGGCAUCUUCCAUCUUCGCCACCACUGCUGAAUCAGUCUUCCUUUAUGAAGCACGAUGUCCCCUUUGCAGUAGGCUGGAAAUGUGAGACGUGCUUAGGAGCAGUGCCUGGCCUGGGAAAAAGAAAUGCACCCCUCCCACCUAAGUACCACUGCAGUCCAGGUUCUCUUUGUUCUAAAUACAUAUUCUUUUACUGUUUACUAUCCCUUUUCCCCUCUGAGUUGGAACAUUUGUUUAAAAAAGUCUUCUGUUGCUGGGAGCUGAACCAGACACCAUGUCUACUGUAUUGGCUCAGAAUGAGAUUUGAGCAGCAUCUUGCUGCAUGCUCCCUAAGGAUGGGUAAAAGCAAAUGCCAUGAGUAUAAAAAGACGAGGCUUCUGUAAGGUGAGUCUUUC